rnacentral:rRNA from 1 species
GAUGAACGCUGGCGGCGUGCCUAAUACAUGCAAGUCGAACGCUUCACUUCGGUGAAGAGUGGCGAACGGGUGAGUAAUACAUAAGUAACCUGGCAUCUACAGGGGGAUAACUGAUGGAAACGUCAGCUAAGACCGCAUAGGUGUAGAGAUCGCAUGAACUCUAUAUGAAAAGUGCUACGGGACUGGUAGAUGUUGGACUUAUGGCGCAUUAGCUGGUUGGUAGGGUAACGGCCUACCAAGGCGACGAUGCGUAGCCGACCUGAGAGGGUGACCGGCCACACUGGGACUGAGACACGGCCCAGACUCCUACGGGAGGCAGCAGUAGGGAAUUUUCGGCAAUGGGGGAAACCCUGACCGAGCAACGCCGCGUGAAGGAAGAAGUAAUUCGUUAUGUAAACUUCUGUCAUAGAGGAAGAACGGUGGAUAUAGGGAAUGAUAUCCAAGUGACGGUACUCUAUAAGAAAGCCACGGCUAACUACGUGCCAGCAGCCGCAGUAA